rnacentral:lncRNA from 1 species
GCAUAAGUCGUUGUGUGCCAUAUAGGUUGGUUGUCCUCUUAACCAAUGAGUGUGGAGACACUGGUAUGGCAUACAGGUGAGAUAUAAGGGUACAUCUGCACUGAACGUGACCGACUCCAGAGCUAUUUCUGCUAUCAAGAUUUGCUCCGAUGGAAUAUGGGUAUAAAUGACCCUCCGACCUGAGACCGCCAUGGUGACUUGCAAGCAACUCACUGCACUUAGGCACUGGACUACCUAAAUUUCUAAUUCAGUGACGGAAGGCUGCUGGGUGUAGUCAAGUACUUGACUUGUCGGUGCGUGUGUCA